UACGAAGGGGGCUAGCGUUGCUCGGAAUGACUGGGCGUAAAGGGCGCGUAGGCGGUUGACACAGUCAGGCGUGAAAUUCCUGGGCUUAACCUGGGGGCUGCGCUGGAUACAUGUUGACUUGAGUGUGGAAGAGGGUCGUGGAAUUCCCAGUGUAGAGGUGUAAAUUCGUAGAUAUUGGGAAGAACACCGGUGGCGAAGGCGGCGACCUGGUCCGUGACUGACGCUGAGGCGCGAAAAGCGUGGGGAGCAAACAGGG
rnacentral:rRNA from 1 species